GAAAUGCGAUAAGUAAUGUGAAUUGCAGAAUUCAGUGAAUCAUCGAAUCUUUGAACGCACAUUGCGCCCGCCAGCACUCUGGCGGGCAUGCCUGUUCGAGCGUCAUUUCAACCCUCAAGCCCCGCGCUUGUGUUGGGGACCUGCGGCUGCCGCAGGCCCUGAAAACCAGUGGCGGGCUCGCUGUCACACCGGGCGUAGUAGAUUUUAUCUCGCUCAGGGCGUGCUGCGGGUUCCGGCCGUUAAAAAGCCUUUUUUACCCAAGGUUGACCUCGGAUCAGGUAGGAAGACCCGCUGAACUUAAGC
rnacentral:misc_RNA from 1 species